AACGGGGGUUGGGUGGGGGGUCCAACCCGGUGGGUCUGGGGUCCCACAAAGGCUCCAUCACCUCCUGCUGCCGGCUUCCCUUCCGUCUGUCGCUGUGCAAACCCAAGGCAAACGAAGGCGAGUGCCGAUUUUUGGGGUUUUUUUUGGUCGCUCACUCGACGGUGCCGGUGUCGGGUUUUUUUUGGGUUUUUUUUCCUGAUCCGGUGUCGUUUGCUCGGUGCCGGUGUUGUUUUGCUCGGUGCCAGUGUCGUUUGCUCAGUGCCGGUGUCAUUUGCUUGGUACCGGUGUUGUCGGUACCGGUGUUGUUUGCACGGUGCCGGUGUCAUUUUCUCAGUGCCGGUGUCGUUUUGCUCGUUACCGGUGUUGUUGGUGCUGGUGUCGUUUGAUUGGUGCCGAUGUUGUUUGCUUGGUGCUGGUGUCGUUUGCUCAGUGCCGGUGUCGUUUGCUCGGUACCGGUGUUGUCAGUGCCGGUGUCAUUUGCUCGGUGCCGGUGUCGUUUGCUCGGUACCGGUGUUGUCGGUACCGGUGUCAUUUGCUCGGUGCCGAUGUCGUUUGCUCGGUGCCGGUAUCAUUUACUCGGUGCCGGUGUUGUCGGUACCGGUGUUGUUUGCUCGGUGCCGGUGUUGUUGGUACUGGUGUCGUUUGCUCGAUGCCGGUGCCGUUUGCUCAGUACCGGUGUUGUUUGCACGGUGCCGGUGUUGUUGGUGCCGGUGUCGUUUGCUCAGUACCGGUGUCGUUUGCUCGGUGCCAGUGUUGUUGGUUCCGGUGUCGUUUACUCGGUGCCAGUGUCGUUUGCACAGUGCCGGUGCCGUUUGCUCGGUGCCGGUGUUGUUGGUACCAGUGUCGUUUUGCUUGGUGCCGGUGUUGUCGGUGCCGGUGUUGUUGGUGCCGGUGUCGUUUGCUCGGUGCCGGUGUUGUUGGUGCCGGUGUCGUUGGCUCGGUACCGGUGUCGUUUUGCUCGGUACCGGCAUCACAGACAGACGUUGAUCUGUUUGGCCAACUCCCUCUCGAGGUCGAGGAUGAGAGCAUCGAAGUCUUUGAGGUUAAGCAUCGGAGCGAACGACGAAUCGCUUUCGUCGCCGAGACCAAAAUCGGUCACGAUAAGGGUCCGGCGAUUCGCGACACGACUGUCGCCGCUCGUCACCUCCUCGUAUCUCCCCAGCUCGAUGCUCCAGUCGCCGGCGUAGCGGUUGCUGGGGGGGCUUUCGGGUCCCCGGGGGCGAUGCCGGGCGACCACGGCUGUGUCCACGAGGUCCAGGCGGAGGGGGGGCUGCUGAGGGUGGCUGGGGGGCGACUGGGGGGCCA
rnacentral:lncRNA from 1 species